rnacentral:rRNA from 1 species
GACGAACGCUGGCGGCGUGCCUAAUACAUGCAAGUAGAACGCACAGUUUAUACCGUAGCUUGCUACACCAUAGACUGUGAGUUGCGAACGGGAGAGUAACGCGUAGGUAACCUGCCUGGUAGCGGGGGAUAACUACUGGUAACGAUAGCUAAUACCGCAUAAUAUUAAUUAUUGCAUGAUAAUUAAUUUAAAGGUGCAAUUGCACCACUACCAGAUGGACCUGCGUUGUAUUAGCUAGUAGGUGAGGUAACGGCUCACCUAGGCGACGAUACAUAGCCGAGCCGGGAAGGUGAUCGGGCAAAACGGGAAGGGGGCACGGCCCAGGACCCUACGGGAGGCAGCAGGAGGGAAACUUCGGAAAUGGGGGAAAGGCUGGACGCGGCACGCCGGGGGAGCGAAGAAGGGUCUCGGGUCGGAAAGCUCUGUUGUAAGAGAAGAACGGGUGUGAAGGUGGAACGUUCACACUGUGACGGUAUCUGAACAGAAAGGGACGGCUAACUACGUG